rnacentral:lncRNA from 1 species
UGUAAGUGGAUUAGAAAAUUUUAUGUGCUUUAAUAAGAGAAUAUGGAUCACGUUCUGCCGGUGGUGUUCUAUUUUGCGUGGAAACGGGCAGAUUAUACCAGCGGAAACCAAAAUAUGAAGAUCUCGACGUUUGCUUCACCCGUAGUGUACGCGGCAACAACUUGCUAACCAUUAACGGCAAACCAUAUACAUUAAAUCGACGUAUAAAAGAUGUGUGUUAUUGGGAAUGUGUGAAACUGCGUUGCAAGUACACCAAAUGCACAGCACGCGUUAUCACAAAAUAUGAUCAGAUUGCGUCGUUGCGUGGCGAUCACAACCACUUAUAAAAUUAUAAUAAAAUAUGCUCACUCAAAUAAAUACGAACAUAGAUUAAAUGAAUGUACAAAUGCGUCUUGGAUCGAAGCGGAAUUUAAUUUCAAACGCAACAGGCGAGGAGGACUUAAUCUUCUUUAUCAUGGUUACAUGUAUACUGCUGAACGAAGGUAUAACUCUACCAUAAACUGGGUAUGCAGUAAAAACAGUAGCCAUGUACUGCGCUGUCCGGCACGCUGUGUGACCGCGGGUCAGAGCUGCAUUAAACUAAGUCGUAGGUCUCAUAAUCAUUCACCAAUUCAUUGAAGGGUUGAAGUGCAGCAAUGUCCGGAUUCUAUUGGCAAAUAUACAAUAAUAGAAAAUUUCCGCUUUGUGAUUGGAUCACAAUCGGCUAGUAAAUACUACCUCAAGUGCGCCAAUUUUCGGCAAAAAUGUCGCGCCCGUGCAGUUCUUCUUAAGGAUACAAUGAGUUUGAGAUUACGGCACGAUAAUCAUAACCAUACAGCAGAUCAGCAAUGUUUUCCAUCUAAGAAAGGCACCACCCCACGGCACAUAAUUUAAGUGUAUACAUAUGUAUGUGAUUUCUCCGCAAAAGCACCUGUGCAGUACGUACGAUCACGUCGUGGCACUCAUUUAGUGCUACACGAAUACAACACUUACACCCCCAAUGAAAAGGUACGAGAUGGUCGCCACUCGCGAGACUGGAAGUGUUCUAUGUAUCAUAAAGCAAAAUGUCGCGCAAGACUUGUUACGCGACAUACUUCUAAGGGAGAUGUGAUCCAUAUAACCUCAGAUAACCACACACACAAACCAAUGUAUACAGCUGAAGACUUGAAACUGAUGCAGUCAUUGCAGACGCCAAUGAAUGAAGAAACUGAAUCAUUAAUGGAGCGGCAUCGACCUGCACAAUCAUUGCAGUGUCUUCAUCCACUCCACCUACAACAAUUUCAACAGCUACAGCUACAAACACUUUAUCCGCAGUCUGCAGCUGAACCUAUUUUUCAGCCGCAAUUUAAUAAAUUCUUUCCUCGCCCGUUGUAAUAGAAUACUACAUACAUGCUGCAAAUAGCACAGAUAAAUGGCAAUUGGACGCUGCCAACCGUGGUCACCAACACUAGUGGAUCAAAAUCGAACACAGCCGAUAAUUGUGCCGAUAAAGAGAGCAAAACAUCCUCAUUGGCUCUAACCCAAAAGAAUAUGAAUCUCAGGUUCAUUCCAGGACAACGAGGAAAAUCUUUGCUGUGCUUCAACAAUUUCACGUAUGCACAAAACAAUGUUUGCGGUAAUACAACUUAUUGGAACUGUCGUAGCCGACGCGUUGGCCAGAAGCCCUGCAAGGCUCGCAUCACAACAACAAAACAACCAAACGGUCUGUUCAGGGUGUGUCUAACUAAGCCCGAGCACAAUCAUGAACCCUCACCUCGUGUGCUGAGAAAGAUCGAAAAAUCACUUUAAACUUAAUUUAAUAAUAAAUUCAAUUCAAUUCAAUAAAACUUAUAAUGGUGGUUUGUCACA